GGAGGAGAGAGAUGGGAGGGGAGAGUUAGAGGAGAGAGAUGCUGGAGAGAGAUUGCUGGAGAGAGCUGGCAGAAGAAAGCUGGCAGGAGAGAGAUGGCAGGAGAGAGAUGGUAGGAGAGAGAUGGCAGGAGAGAGAUGCAGGAGAGACAUUGCUGGAGAGAGCUGAAAGAGAUGGAGGAGAGAGAUGGCAGCAGAGAGAUGACAGGAGAGAGAUGGCAGCAGAGAGCUGCAGGAGAGAGUUGGGAGGAGAGAGAUGGCAGGAGAGAGAUGGGAGGAUAAAGAUGGCAGGAGUGAGACGGAGGAGAGAGAUGCAGGAGAGACAUUGCUGGAGAGAGUUGAAGGAUAGAGAUGGCAGGAGAGAGAUGGCAGGAGAGAGAUGGCAGGAGAGAGAUGGCAGGAGAGAGAUGGAGGAGUGAGAUGGAGGAGUGAGAUGGAGGAGUGAGAUGGAGGAGAAAGAUGGGAGGAGAGAGUUAGAGGAGAGAGAUGCUGGAGAGAGAUGCAGGAGAGACAUUGCUGGAGAGAGCUGAAGGAGAAAGAUGGAGGAGAGAGCUGAAGGAGAGAGAUGGCAGGAGUGAGACGGAAGAGAGAGAUGGAGAGAGAUGACAGGAGAGAGAUGGAAGGAGAGAGAUGCAGGAGAGAGGUAAAGGAGAGAGGUAAAGGAGAGAGGUAAAGGAGAGAGCUGAAGGAGAGAGAUGGCAGGAGAGAGAUGGCGGGAGAGUAAUGGAGGAGAGAGAUGGAAGAGAGAGAUGGGAGGAUGGUGAUGGGAGGAGAGAGAUGGGAGGAGAGAGAUGGCAGGAGAGCGAUGAAGGAGAGAGCUGAAGGAGAGAGAUCGCAGGAGAGAGAUGAAGGAGAGAGGUAAAGGAGAGAGAUGGAGGAGAGAGAUGCUGGAGAGAGCUGAAGGAGAGAGCUGAAGGAGAGAGCUGGCAGGAGAGAGCUGAAGGAGAGAGAUGGCAGGAGAGCAAUGGAGGAGAGAGAUGGCAGGAGAGAGAUGGAAGAGAGAGAUGGGAGGAUAGUGAUGGGAGGAGAGAGAUGGCAGGAGAGAGAUGGAGGAGAGAGAUGCUGAAGGAGAGAGCUGAAGGAGAGAGAUGGCAGGAGAGAGAUGGCAGGAGAGAGAUGGAAGAGAGAGAUGGGAGGAUAGUGAUGGCAGGAGCGAGAUGAAGGAGAGAGAUGGAGGAGAGAGAUACUGGAGAGAGCUGAGGAAGAGAGCUGAAGGAGAGAGCUGAAAGAGAGAGGUGGAGGAGAGAGGGCAGGAGAGCAAUGGAGGAGAGAGACGAAGGAGAGAGAUGGAGGAGAGAGAUGCAGG
rnacentral:lncRNA from 1 species